GACGGCCCCUCACCACUGUGUCCUGGGGCCCCUCACUGGCCUAACGGUUUCCUUCUCUUGCCCUCAGCCAUCCUCAAUGCGGCCAGGAUACCUGUUCCCCCAGCCUGUGGGAAGCCCCAGCAGCUGAACCGGGUUGUGGGCGGCGAGGACAGCACUGACAGCGAGUGGCCCUGGAUCGUGAGCAUCCAGAAGAAUGGGACCCACCACUGCGCAGGUUCUCUGCUCACCAGCCGCUGGGUGAUCACUGCUGCCCACUGUUUCAAGGAGUAUGUACAGCCGGCCUGGGGCACUUGAUCUUCUAAGGCCCUGGGCUUUGUGCCCCAGGCCCUGGGCUCCCUUUACAGGCUCUGCUUCCGGGCCUCUGUUCAAUCUUGGUGCCCCUCGAUUCUACCUAGAAGCCUCUCCUGCCUUCAGGGGCCUUCACACCCAUGCUGUUCCCCCAGGUACCUCCUCCCAGACCAGACCUGGCUGAUCCUCCCCUUCCCUUUCCUUCCAGCAACCUGAACAAACCAUCCCUGUUCUCUGUGCUGC
rnacentral:sRNA from 1 species